rnacentral:misc_RNA from 1 species
GAUGAAGAACGUAGCGAAAUGCGAUAAGUAGUGUGAAUUGCAGAAUUCAGUGAAUCAUCGAAUCUUUGAACGCACAUUGCGCCCCUUGAUAUUCCAUGGGGCAUGCCUGUUCGAGCGUCAUUUGUACCCUCAAGCUUUGCUUGGUGUUGGGUGUUUGUCCCGCGUUGCGCGUGGACUCGCCUUAAAGCGAUUGGCAGCCGGCAUAUUGGCCUUGGAGCGCAGCACAUUUUGCGCUUCUAGUCAUGAAUGUUGGCGUCCAUUAAGCCUAUACAUUUGCUCUUGACCUCGGAUCAGGUAGGGAUACCCGCUGAACUUAAGCAUAUCAAUAAGCGGAGGA